rnacentral:rRNA from 1 species
UGGGGAAUAUUGCACAAUGGGCGCAAGCCUGAUGCAGCCAUGCCGCGUGUAUGAAGAAGGCCUUCGGGUUGUAAAGUACUUUCAGCGGGGAGGAAGGGAGUAAAGUUAAUACCUUUGCUCAUUGACGUUACCCGCAGAAGAAGCACCGGCUAACUCCGUGCCAGCAGCCGCGGUAAUACGGAGGGUGCAAGCGUUAAUCGGAAUUACUGGGCGUAAAGCGCACGCAGGCGGUUUGUUAAGUCAGAUGUGAAAUCCCCGGGCUCAACCGGGGAGGGUCAUUGGAAACUGGGAGACUUGAGUGCAGAAGAGGGGAGUGGAAUUCCAUGUGUAGCGGUGAAAUGCGUAGAUAUAUGGAGGAACACCAGUGGCGAAGGCGGCUCUCUGGUCUGUAACUGACGCUGAGGCUCGAAAGCGUGGGGAGAAAACAGG